rnacentral:lncRNA from 8 species
UGUCUUUCUCUGGGGCUGAUGACACCACUCUGCUGUUCGAGGGACGCUUCAAGUGUGGCAACUUGCUGAAAGCAACAAGAGUGUAAGUACAUAACAUCCAUAAGUAUUGUCUAACCUCUCACGCUGUCAUUCAAAGUUCUGAGUGAUUUACAAUUUCUAUUCUGUGUUGUGUGAUUUCAUUUCAAUCCUCUAAUAUUGUCACUCAUCCUAGUCAUGAGUGAAUGAAUGCCCACAGCCAUUUACGUUCUGUCUAAUUGAAUUUCAGUGGUGAAUUUGAUUACGAGCUCUCUCUGCGCACCAACUUGUACACUCGGUGGUUCUACUUCCAGGUGAGGAACACCAGCGUGUAGGUGCGUUACCGCUUCAACAUCACCAAACUGCUGAAGGUGACCAGCCUGUAUGAGGAGGGGAAGCUACCCCUGCUCUACUCUGAGGAGAAGGCCCAUGUCCAGGGGGUGGGCUGGCAUCUUGUGGGUCAACAGGCCUCCUACCAAUGUAACGGGCGCAAGCACACCAACCUGCCCUGCUACACCCUCUUCUGGAUCUUCUGCUUCUCCUACUACCAAGUAAAGAACAUGAGAGAAUGUGCUCCAGCGCGGCUUCCGGGUUGGAUGUGAAAUGUGUGAAAAGAAGCAGUGAGGCUUGGUUGGGUUGUGUUCCGGAGGACGCAUGGCUCUCCACCUUCGCCUCUCCCGUCUUGUUGCAGCGAUGAGACAGGACUGUAACUACUACCAAUUUGAUACCACAACAUUGGGGAGGAAUAAAAAGACUGCAUGUUAUUUCAGCCUGUUUUGGUGGGAUGGAGUUUUAGCCUGCCUGGUGACAUCACCAGGAGGUACAGUAUAUUAGUUAAUAGACCCUAAACACGGUAAGGUACUUAAUUGUUAGCCAGAAAUUAUAUGAUAUUGAGAUAAAACAGCUGCAUUGGACCUUUAAAUUAAUUGUCUUUAUCUUAUUCAAGCAACAUGUCUUAGAAGACAUGUCUUUAAUACCCAAAAAUGUGUAUACAUUUUCCCCUUACAACCAGGAUACCUGCUACCUUUCCCACUGCUACCCCUACACCAACCUGUGGGCUGGCAUCUUGUGGGUCAACACACCCUAGGUUGUGUGAGGAGCCACCAAGUGGAUCCAACAGCUUAGAGUCAGAUGGACCUCCUCUUCACCUCCAGGCCUUCAACAAGCUGAUGGCUCCUCCAGCAGCACCCAGGAGGGAGCCUCCCAAAUGGAGGGAGAGACUACUAGUCCCCCCAGAGCCCAGCCUUCCAAAUAAGAAGUCAGAAUACCAGCAGCAUCUGAUGGCAGAGUACGUGAGCAGCAUGAUGCAGUUGACCCUUGGCCCGAACCUCAAUGGCUACGACUGGGGCCCUGUUCAGUGCCCCCAGGCUGCCCGCCUGCCCCCCCACCAUGUGCCCUCCUUCCUGCAUCCCACCUUGGCCACUUCACAGCUGCCCAGGGACAGCAGGGACAGGGAGCGCCUUCCCAGUCAUCCUCAGCGACUGCCCGGCCUGGCUGACCUGGCCGCAGGAGACAGGACCAUCGGAACGCUCUCCCCAGUCCAGUGGAGAGGUCCCCAUUCCUAUACUGCCCCUGCCAGUAUGCAACUCAGAUCCAAUCGUACAUGUCAAUCUGUUCCGGCAAGAAUGAAACACAAAAAGAAGAAGCGGAAAGUAACUGUACAAACUAAAAUAAACAGAUCGGUAAAACACCAACACAAAAAGACUGCAUCAGGAACCUCACCGAUGAAUGUGAGCUAAUGUACUGCACUGCAAUGUAAUGUGCUGUAUUCAUAUUCAGACUGUAUCAACAUCAUGCAAUAAUACGCACACAAUAUUUCGUCCUGGAUUAGGCUUUCCACCAUGUCAAAGCAAAGCCAGCUCCCCUCGUGACCAGUGUGUCUACAUAGUCUCUGUAGUGAUGCUGACAACCUGCGGCUGCACCCUAUUCCUGUUGCAGUUAAACAACCAGGCACUCCUGCGGUGGCGGUACCUCUUGGACAGCAGCACAUAGAGCACGGGGUUAACACAGGGAUGGAGGUACUGGAGCACGGUGCAGAUGAAGUAGAACAUCUCCCAGGACUGGCCGUGGCGGUAGAGCCCAAGGUACACACACAGCUCCAGGAUGUACCUAAUAAUGAAAACGAGUCAGGAGAAGCGGUAUAAACUAGAAGAAGUGUUAGAAUGUCCUAACGUAUACAAUAAAGUCAUCAUCAUCUUCCUCAUCCUCUUCAUCAUCAUCAUCAUACCCGGGAAGCCAGCAGAUGGAGAAGGUCCCGGCCGCCAGGAACACCAUAAAGGAGGCUCGGCGUGUGUUGCGGGCACUGGCCACAGACAUGACUGGGCUCUUGUGGAGGAAGCAGGCCAACCGGACGUAGUUGAAGGCGAUCACCAGCAUAGGGACGAAGUAGUAGAGCAUGAACUGGCUGAGGACCACCUGGUGGAGGAAUGGAUGGAUGAAUGGAUUAAAAAUGUUGUGUUUUCUCACAUUAAUUGGACAUCAUUUUCUUUUAGCAAAUGAAAGUAACAGUAAAAAAAAAUGUACAGACCUGGUUACUUCCAGUGACAUUAUUUUAACUAAACAUAAUACCUUUUGUUACACAUGGUGUGCAUCUCAAAUGGCACCCUAUUCCCUCUAGUACACCAGGUCAAAAGAUGUGCACUAUAUAGCAAACAGAGUACAAUUUCAGACCAAGCCAUUGUUACCUGAUAGUGGUGUUCCUGUAUGGUGGGCAGGCAGAAUGUAAAAUUACCCAAGCCGGGGCCCAGGCUCUCCUUGGUGGCGAAGAUCCUCAGAGGCAGACUGAUGAAGAAGGCUGAUGCCCAGACCAAGACGAACAUCAGGACCACCAGGUCCAUGGUAGGAGGGCGGUAGGGGUUGGUUAUGAUCAUGGCGCGUGUCAUGGACACGGCACACAGGCUGUAGGUGCUGGCUGCCAGGGAGAAGGCCAGAAAGAACUGGUACACCUUGCAGGAGGUGUCCCCCAGCGGCCACGAGUAGCUGAAGAAGGAGAUAGGAGAUGAUGAAAGAUUAUAAGAUUGUCACAGAGAGAUGGUAAUCCUGCUUCUGCUUUUAUACCAAAUCCUCAGAGACAAACACAGUGCUCAUAUCCCACAAGAUUCUUCUGUUAGUCAAACCUGGGUUUUGAUCUGCUGGCAACACUGCAGGUCCAGUGGCCCCUCUAACCUCUAUGGCUAUUGGCUAGGCUACCUGACAGUUGAGUAAACUAGCACAACUGAUUCAACUAGUCAAGGGCGUGAUAAUUAGACUACAAGGUGAAUCAAGUGUGCUAAGUCUUUAAUAGAUUAAAUACAUGGCACAAAUAGGGGUCCCCGAGAAGAGGUUUGCUAACUGACAACGGAGUGCAAGGUGAAUGGUAUCAGCAGCAGGGUGAGGAAGUCUGCCAGGGCCAUGCUUUAACCUCCAACCUACCUGACAGCAGAGUGCAAGGUGAAGGGGAUGAGCAGCAGGGUGAGGAAGUCUGCCAGAGCCAGGAUCUCUGAUCUCUAACCUCUAACCUACCUGACGGCAGAGUGCAGAGUGAAAGGGAUGAGCAGCAGGGUGAGGAAGUCUGCCAGAGCCAUGCUGAGCAGCAGGAUGUCCAGACAGUUCUUCCUCAGGGUGUUGUACUUGGCGAACAGAGAGAACACCAGUAGGUUGGCACAGAAACCGAUGCCCAGGAUCACCCCGCAGGUACAGGCAAAGAUCAGGGAGAACAUGUUGGGGACAGCCUGUUGUGUGAGCAAAGAUUUAGAUAUAUUCUCAAUCUCAAAACGGUUAGAUAAUCUCAGUUAUUGGAAACGUUUCAAUAUAGUUUAAUUUAUAUCAAAUUUGCCAAUCCACUUUUUAUCAGUGGAGGCUCUUUACGGGAGGAAGGGGAGGACCGUCCUACUCAGGGAAUUUCAUAAAAAUACAAAUAGUGAA